CCUAUUUUACAUUUUUAAAACUUAGGUCAAGCAAUCAAGCUAAUCCUUAAUGACAGAUGAAGCACUAGUGGAGAUCUAAUGUGACAUAGGCAUUCCAUGCUUUUGUUGCUAACCCCCUCUCAUAAGUUGCGAGAACUAGAAUAAGGUUUUAAAUUAGUGGCAUUGCAUGAUUUAACUUGGUCACUUACAUGGCCCAUGUCAUGCUUAUGAGGCAUA
rnacentral:lncRNA from 1 species